AAGGGUUGAACAAGGUCUAAACCCACUGAGCUAGCCACACUUUGUAUAGAAUUGCAGGAUUACACCUCCAAGCUUCUUGGCGUCUGAAGUGCCUACCCAUGUCGAAUCUAGUUCUACUUGUCUUUGAGGCAGAUCUUUUUUACUUUUUCGACAAAGGUUAUAAAGGAUACCCCUUUUCCUAAUGGGAGUAAACAGGGGACCGAAAAGGAUGCU